rnacentral:rRNA from 1 species
GAGAGAUCUGAGCGACCUUGCAGUAAAUGUAGGGAGGCCUGCACAGGUGCUGCAUGGCUGUCGUCAGCUCGUGUCGUGAGAUGUUGGGUUAAGUCCCGCAACCGAGCGCAACCCCUACUUGCCAGUUGCUAACAGGAGAGCUGAGCACUCUGGCGAGACUGCCGCCGACAAGGCGGAGGAAGGUGGGGAUGACGUCAAGUCAUCAUGGCCUUUAUGCCCAGGGCUACACACGUGCUACAAUGGCCGGCACAGACGGCAGCUUAGUGGCGACACUUGGCAAAUCCUCUAAAGCCGGUCCCAGUUCGGAUUGUAGUCUGCAACUCGACUACAUGAAGCCGGAAUCGCUAGUAAUCGCAGAUCAGCCAAGCUGCGGUGAAUACGUUCCCGGGCCUU